rnacentral:rRNA from 1 species
GAGGUUCGAAGGCGAUCAGAUACCGCCCUAGUUCUAACCAUAAACGAUGCCAGCCAGCGAUCCGGCUGUGUUCCUCAAAUGACACGCCGGGCAGCUUCCGGGAAACCAAAGCUUUUGGGUUCCGGGGGAAGUAUGGUUGCAAAGCUUAAACUUAAAGGAAUUGACGGAAGGGCACCACAAGCCAUGGAGCAUGCGGUUCAAUUUGACUCAACACGGGAAAACUUACCUGGCCCGGACACAGGAAGGAUUGACAGAUUAAGAGCUCUUUCUUGAUUCUGUGAGUGGUGGUGCAUGGCCGUUCUUAGUUGGUGGAGUGAUUUGUCUGCUUAAUUGCGUUAACGAACGAGACUCUAGCCUACUAAAUAGACGUUCCGAUCCUCUUAGUCGGACGCUCUUCUUAGGGGGACAGGCGGCGACUAGCCGCACGAGACAGAGCAAUAACAGGUCUGUGAUGCCCUCAGAUGUCCGGGGCCACACGCGCGCUACAUUGAAGGAAUCAGCGUGUGCUUUCCCUGUCCGACAGGACUGGGUAACCCGUUGAACCUCCUUCGUGCUGGGGAUAGGGGCUUGCAAUUGUUCCCCUUGAACGAGGAAUGCCUAGUAAGCACGAGUCAUAAAUUCGUGUUGAUUAGGUCCCUGCCCUUUGUACACACCGCCCGUCGCUAUAAGCGAUUGAAUGGUUUAGUGAGGUCUUCGGACUGGCGCUCGAAUUGGCCUUCCGGUCGAGUCGACGUGCCGGAAAGAUGACCAAACUUGAUCAUUUAGA